AGAAAGAGACAUUUCAGGAAAGCUGCACAUCAGAAAAUACUGGUCUCGACUGAAUUGCCAGCGCAGAUGGAGUGAAUCCACUGGCCUAAGGGGGAUUCAGAUGACUUGCUGCAUCUUGGAACACCUGGAAGUGGUAGUCUGAGGAGAAGACAUGCGAGAGAAGAAACAUCUGCCUCCAUAAAUUGAUUUCUUCUGCUCUUCAAGUGCCUGCCUGUGGAUUUAAGUGGAAUUAGAGGAGCUGCGGGAAGAUGCCCUACAGAAGAGAAUGGCAACCCACGCCAGUAUUCUUGCCUGGAGAAUUUCAUGGACAGAGGAGCCUGGCGGGCCACAGUCCAGAGGUCUCAAAGAGUCAGACACCACAGAAGCCACUUGGCAUGCACGCAGAGGAGCUACAGGGGAGGCAGGGGGUGUUCGCGUUUCCUCCCUGACAGUCAUCAGUGAACCAGAGAUUGCAGCUUCUGAAGCUGGCAGAGAGGUGACCUGUGUGAAGGCCUCUCCACCUCCUGGGGCAGAGAGCAUCCAGUGGAGCACUGUGCAGUUAUUAGAGGGAUAAUGGGAUUCAUUGCAGCAAGGACUGCUUGGCUGGG